rnacentral:lncRNA from 1 species
AGUUUUUAAUCAUAACCACGCACAACUUUUCAGUAUAAAGUAACCAAAAAUAGAAAUUUUCAAACAGUUCUAGAAAAAUUAUUCUCCAUUAUUGUAUUUAAGAUGAAGUCGAUAAUAAUUUUUGUUUUAUUAUUGGUGAUGUGUACUACCUCCAUGGGUUUCAACUACUUUUCAAUUCCAACUUUGUCUCCAGAGCACUAUAAACAUGUACUUGAUUUAUUAAACAAACAACAUGGCGGACCAAAUAAAAUUAAAAUCUAACUGAUGUAUUGAAGAUGGUGUUUUAAAGUGCGAAUACAGUUAAAUUUGUAAAACACAUUUUUUAAAUGUGACUAAUAAAUACAUGCGUUUUUAGUUCUUUACAUAA